rnacentral:lncRNA from 1 species
AGAAAAUCAAAUUAAGAUGAACACGUUUACAGUAGGCAACACGGGCAUUUAUGCCCGACCGUGUCCACAACACGUUCCCGUGUCCGAAACACGGGCGUGUUCUCAGAAGUGGUAAGUCAGCACGUUUUAAUUCGCUUAACACGGUUCGAUACCCAGACCGUGUUCAUUAACACGGCCCCUGUUGGUGAACAUGGGUGUGUUCCGUACACUGCCUAUAUAUACCACUUCAUUUCAAAAUCUCUGAAAAUUUUAUUCUCCCCUUAGUUUUAGC